rnacentral:rRNA from 1 species
CGUGUAGGCGGUCAGGUAAGUGGGAUGUGAAAGCCCUCGGCUCACCCGAGGAUCUGCAUUCCAAACUGCCUGGCUUGAGUAUGGGAGAGGAUGAGGGAAUUCCUGGUGUAGCGGUGAAAUGCGUAGAUAUCAGGAGGAACACCGGUGGCGAAGGCGCUCAUCUGGCCCAAUACUGACGCUGAGGCGCGAAAGCUAGGGGAGCAAACG